rnacentral:rRNA from 1 species
UACGUAGGGUGCGAGCGUUGUCCGGAAUUAUUGGGCGUAAAGAGCUUGUAGGCGGUUUGUCGCGUCUGCUGUGAAAAUCCGGGGCUCAACCCCGGACUUGCAGUGGGUACGGGCAGACUAGAGUGUGGUAGGGGAGACUGGAAUUCCUGGUGUAGCGGUGAAAUGCGCAGAUAUCAGGAGGAACACCGGUGGCGAAGGCGCCACUCUGGGCCGGCACUGACGCUGAGGAGCGAAAGCGUGGGUAGCAAACAGG